rnacentral:tRNA from 1 species
UAUGACCGAAAUCGGUAGACGCUACGGACUUAAAAUCCGUUGGCUUUUUAGACCGUGAGGGUUCAAGUCCCUCUACCCCCA